GCUCUGGUGGCCUAGUGGUUAGAGCAUCUGCCUCGGAUGCGGGAGGUCGUGGGUUCGAUCCUUGGUCGAGUCAUAACA